GGACUACUGGGGUAUCUAAUCCCGUUCGCUCCCCUAGCUUUCGCGCCUCAGCGUCAGUUACAAGCUAGCAAGCCGCCUUCGCCACUGGUGUUCCUUGCAAUAUCUACGCAUUUCACUACUACACUGCAAAUUCCACUUGCCUCUCUUGCACUCCAGCCCCGCAGUAUUGGACGCAGUUUCGAGGUUGAGCCUCGAACUUUCACAACCAACUUACGGAACCGCCUACGCGCUCUUUACGCCCAGUAAAUCCGGAUAACGCUCGCCCCCUACGUAUUACCGCGGCUGCUGGCAC
rnacentral:rRNA from 1 species